UACGAAGGGGGCUAGCGUUGCUCGGAAUCACUGGGCGUAAAGCGCACGUAGGCGGCUUACUAAGUCAGGGGUGAAAUCCUGGAGCUCAACUCCAGAACUGCCUUUGAUACUGAAGAUCUUGAGUCCGGGAGAGGUGAGUGGAACUGCGAGUGUAGAGGUGAAAUUCGUAGAUAUUCGCAAGAACACCAGUGGCGAAAGGCGGCUCACUGGCCCGGUACUGACGCUGAGGCACGAAAGCGUGGGGAGCAAACAGG
rnacentral:rRNA from 1 species